CCUACGGGCGGCAGCAGUGGGGAAUAUUGCGCAAUGGGCGAAAGCCUGACGCAGCGACGCCGCGUGAGGGAUGAAGGUCUUCGGAUCGUAAACCUCUGUCAGCAGGGAAGAACGGUCACUGUGCUAAUCAGCAGUGAAUUGACGGUACCUGCAAAGGAAGCACCGGCUAACUCCGUGCCAGCAGCCGCGGUAAUACGGAGGGUGCGAGCGUUAAUCGGAAUUACUGGGCGUAAAGCGCUCGUAGGCGGUAUGUCAAGUCAAGGGUGAAAUCCCCGCGCUCAACGUGGGAACUGCCUUUGAAACUGGCAAACUGGAGUGUGGGAGAGGAUAGUGGAAUUCCAGGUGUAGGAGUGAAAUGCGUAGAUAUCUGGAGGAACAUCAGUGGCGAAGGCGACUAUCUGGCACAUAACUGACGCUGAGGAGCGAAAGCGUGGGUAGCAAACAGGAUUAGAUACCCUAGUAGUC
rnacentral:rRNA from 1 species